AGACAAUGCUGUUUGCUUCUGAAGCUUCCAAGAAAACUUCUCCUCAGGGAGCAUCCCCAGAGUUCUUUGCAGAUUUCUAAUCCUGGCAUGGUGCUUUCAAAAAUCCAAGGGCCGGAUCAUCAUGGUUGUGGAACGAAGCACUAAAACAGUACCACCCCAGCAGAAGCGACGCAAAUGACGCUUUUUGAACAAGUGCAAGUAAUCGGAAUGAAGGAAACUCAUGCAAACCAACUUUCAGUGUGAAGGGCUGGGACUACACUUCCCACUGUAAUUAUGCAGAGCCUCUAAGCUUGGAUUUUAAGAUAAAGUCAGGCCUGGAUACAAAUUCAGAAUUGCAUCUUACAUCUGUAACUGAGAACAGAACAAUUAUCAGCGUGAUGUCAGAUGCUUAGACAGCUGUCACUUAAAAGAGCUGUACCUAAGGGACUAAUUGCUAAAGAAAGAGAAAGCUGUCCAGCUGCUGUCCGACAGGAACAUGAGCAUUGUCUUGCAGAAACCUCAGAAAAGGUUAGAUGAAGUAACAUUAGUUCCCCCUGCUUUCAACUUUAGAAGUCAUUCGUUGGAGUAACAAAUAGGAAAUGCAUUAUAAAGUGAACUGGGAGGAUGAGGAGAUGGCUCCGUCAGUAAAGUGCCCGCCUGAAAACAUGAAGACCUGAUUUCAGAUGCCCCGAACCCAUGUGAAAUGCAGGACUUAACCCCAGCACUAGUGGAGUGGAGACAGCCAGAUCCCUGAAGCUCAUUGGCAAGCUAGCCUAGCCUAAUCAUGGUUCUCAGAUUCAUCGAGAGACUCCCUCAAAAGCCUCAGAUGAUCCACGUGGGUCUUCUCAUAACAUUUAAACGUACAAAGUGAGGAUUGCCACUCAUCUGAUAAAGCUUUGCCCGGCCCUUCCUGAAGUACUAAAAAUGCCAACUUGACUCCAUUUUCCCAAGGAUCCUGUCACCUUCAUGUCAUUCACCACGUGAAGAAGCAGCUAGUGUUUUCGUUUGUCAUUGUCAAGGUUAGAGCCCAAGCAGAGGAAGCAUUUAUCAACUCUGCUGCUAGCAUCUGUUCUACAAUGACUACAUGAAAGAACAGAAACAGAUAACCAGAAGAGAGGUUAAUACUGUUUUUAACCCACCUACCCUACAGGAAAGAUCAUAACUCAAUUCUUUAAAACAAAAGCCUUCUCUUCCAUCCUUGCAAAUGUCUACAAUGGGGGAGGUACUGGUCCAUCCAAAGUUCACUCUA